UCUUUCUUGGUCUAGCCUCGACUAACCUUCGGGGUAAGGGUCGUUCUGGUCGGGUCUCGAGGGUGGACUCCGUUGGAGGCCGUCGCACUUGCAAGGCUAGAGCUUUCAAAGUAAGAGCUCGAUUUGCGAGCGAAGCACGCAUCGAGGGUUCACUUCACCAUUGUUCCAGACAUUGAUGUUAGACGCAACAUCGGCAAGGAAGCAUAGUCAAUCUAUGAUAUCACUAUCGCUCCAUCUAUCCUAUUCAGGUGGUGAAGAAAAAGCUUUGGUGAGAAUUGAGGUUCAGCGGCAUCGCAAAUCAUUGAUGUCAAUCACUGAAGACAAGCCUAUUUGAGUAAAAUAGCUGCAGUUUUGUCAUGCUUUAAGGUUUUGAUUAUUCUUUAAUUUACUUAUCACUAAGAGGUUAAUAUAAGAUUAAGUGCUUCAACUAUGGAGUUUUUUUUGCAAUUUCUAUCUCAAAAUUAUACCAGAUUAGUAGAUGGCAAUUAUUUCGGAUGAAUAACAAUAUAACUCAACUAAUUCAUACCAAUUCAACAUAAUAAUCUACGAGUACACUUUUUUGCUUUCAUUCCUUGUUGAGAACUUCAGUGUAGAACUUCGGUUGAAGUUAUUCUUUGCUGAGAACUUCAUAAUAUUCUGCGAGUACACUUUUUUGCUUUCAUUCCUUUUACUCUGCUUCUCCUAGUUAAAACUUCAACCUGUGAAAUUUUUCUAAGUACCAAGCUUCGGCUUGGAACUGGCUAGCUGAGUGGCUCUUGCCCCCCUUAGAAAUCUGAAGAUAGAGUCUUCAGGUUUUUGAGGAGAUUGUUUCAACUUUCUUAUAUAGCCGAGGUUUUUGCCUUGGCGAAAUUUUUGUGAUAAUUCAGAUUAUUGGGUUUCUGCUCAUUUUUAUUUUCUCUUCUAUUUUGUUUUAAAAAAGGUCUGAUUUCUUGCUUAAGAGCCGUAAACUCUGAGAUUAAUACUCUUGUGAUCCUUUUAAUUCAUCCGAGGGAACGACUAUGCGGAACACGAUGCAGGGGCAAUGAUCUAUCCGAAGUACAAUGCUUCACUAGGCAGUACUUUGGAUAUGUAAUCAUCACCCGGAAUUGAUUCAUCCGAAGUAUAAUGCUUCAUUAGGCAAUACUUUGGGGCUUUAUCAGUUCUAAUUUUUAAGCAGUGUUUCGGAUGCGCCUAUGGCCUCUUUGCCCGAAGGAAUUGAUUCAUCCAAAGUACAAGGCCUCACUAGGCAAUACUUCAUGGAUUUGUCAUUUGUCCUUGUCUUGGCAGGUUUUACGGUUUGCCGAAGUACCAUGCAUCACUAUGCAAUACUUCAGGCAACACCGAAUGAAAACCUUGAAUUUUUCAAAAACCAUUGAAGACAGAAAAAAUAGAAACUUCAUUGAAUUUGGAUAAAACGGUGGCUCAAAGGCCUUUCAUUAAUGUAAGGAAGUGUACUUACAUAAACUGCUUUUCCCCGAAGGGCUUUACACAUGGUAUCUCUUAAGUACAUCAGCAUUCCAGUGAUUUUUCAGCUCAGUACCAUCUAACUGCCGA